GACGAACGCUGGCGGCGCGCUUAACACAUGCCAGUCGAACGGAAAGGCCUGCUUUCCCUUGUGGAUUGCGGGUACUCGAGUGGCGAACGGGUGAGUAACACGUGAGUGAUCUGCCCCCAACUUGGGUAUAAGCCUGGGAAACUGGGUCUAAUUCCCGAUAGGACUGCAGGGUGGUGCCUGUGGUGGAAAACGAUUUUCUAGUGGUUGGGGAUGAGCUCGCGGCCUAUCAGCUUGUUGGUGGGGUAAUGGCCUACCAAGGCGGCGACGGGUAGCCGGCCUGGGAGGGUGGACGGCCACAUUGGGACUGAGAUACGGCCCAGACUCCUACGGGAGGCAGCAGUGGGGAAUAUUGCACAAUGGGCGGAAGCCUGAUGCAGCGACGCCACGUGGGGGAUGACGGCCUUCGGGUUGUAAACUCCUUUCGACCGCGAGGAAGCCACCUGGUUGGAAGGGUGGUGACGGUAGUGGUAGAAGAAGCACCGGCUAACUACGUG
rnacentral:rRNA from 1 species